rnacentral:lncRNA from 1 species
AUCUGCACUAUCAUGGGCUCGGCGGUAGUACCACUGCAGCCAGCGGUAGUAUCGUUGGAGUGCUAGCGGUAGUACCGCUGGAGUGCUAGCGGUAGUACCGCUGCAGCCAGCGGUAGUACCGCUAGGCACGGGCUGUGAGUGGGAAAACGGUUGGAUUCCCCCCCACUAUAUAAAGGGUUCUUCUUGCUCUAGAACCCUACCUUUGACC